AAUGUAAAAUAAGCUAAAUAUGAAGCUAUUGGGUUCAUACCCCAAAAAUGAACAUAAGUUCUUUUACAA
rnacentral:tRNA from 1 species